GAUGGCGGGGAGCGUACUACUAGUACGCUUGCGCACAGGAGCCGAGUGACGCCAACCAGGGAGCUGAGUUUAGCCACAACCAAGAUGGUAGCUACGUUCUCCUACAUCCCCUCUCCUUGUACUGAGGGGAGCAAUCUCGGUGUUUACUGACUCCGCUGGGACGCUAGGGGUAGAGUGCCUAGAACCCGAGGGCCCAGGACCUCUACCCUCUGCCUGACCUGGUCCGGAAGCGCUGUCCCCGCCUCCCGCAUAGCGGCCACUCGUCGGUGCAGCGCGGCCGACUGAUCCACCAGAGACUCGGCGGCCGCAUCGUGCUCCCGCAGCCUCUCCAGCAGUGUCUUGGCGUCGGUCAGGAUCUUCUCGAUGGUGCAGUUCAUAGCGGUAGGAAUACCCCGGCCCCUGCCCUGCUCACCUAGGCGAUACACACUAGUAGUCCCCGGACCUGUCUCAGCGUUACAAGCGUCACUUCCGGGCACGAUUCAAAGGCGCCUGGCAGCAUUAUGUGCGCCUGCGCAGUGGCAGCCCAGCCCUUGGGGUGAUCCGCUUUAACCUGCUGGCUUCCCUGUAGCCUCGCCCGGCCCCGGAGUUCCGCCCUUGCCCCGCCCUCAGUUCCCAGUUCCCACAGCCCGGUGGUUAAUACGGUAGGGCUGACAGGUCUAAGGUUCUUCGUUCCCUGCUAUUUUUGAUUGACGUGGUUUGUUGUUCGGUCAUAGGUGGUUGUUUUGUUUUGUUUUUGCUUUGGUUUUUUAUAUUGUGGUGCACCUACUUACUCUCUCAACUUUUUUUCUGCGUUUCAGGUGCUGGGAAUCUAACUCAUACAUGCUAGGCAAGCGCUCUACCACUUCGAUAAAUCUUCCAGCCAGUCAACCCUUCUUAAGUGUACAUAUAGUUCGGUAAUUAGGUGUAUUUAAAUUGUGCAACCAUCAUCAACAGUCAUCUCCUGAACGCUUCCAUCUUGCAAAAUUGGAACUCUAUAGCUAUUAAGCAAUUCUCUUUCUUCUCUCUAAGCUCCUGUCAAUUACUAUUCUACUUUCUGUUUGUGUAAAUCUGACUAGUCUUAAGUACCUCAGGUAAGUGGAAUUGUUGUGGUGUAAACUAAUAAAUAAAAUCAGUAAGAGUGUAAGUUAUAGGUUAUAGAUUAGUAAAAAAAUAUAGAUUAUAGAUAUGAUAAGUGAGAUAAGACCAUUAUAAAGCAAGAACUGUCAUAGACAGGCUUAAGACUCCAUUUUAUUGCCUUCUAUACAAAUCUGCUUCUGAGAAACCAAAAUGAAACCUGUUUUCUUAUAACAAAUUGUAUCACACUCAGGAUGCAGCGGUGGUGUGGUGAGUUACAUCCUGGGUUUGAGUGCACUUGUGGGUCUAUAUGACUUUGAAAUAGAUUCUCGCCCCUGCCAACCCCUGCUCAAACUCAGGAUACUCUUGCCUAGCACCUGCUUGAAUCCAGGAAUUGCAAAGCUAAUUGCUUUUCUCUAGCUUCUGUAUUUGCUUGCUUGCUAACUGGAAAAUUAGCCACUGAGUUGUGGUUUUUGUCCAUAAAUUCUCAAAAAAUGGACCAGGAAGCUGUUGUUCUCCUACAGAGCUUCAGUCUCUUUGGGUGGGUGACAGUCCCUGGCCAGGUAAAUAAAGCUCUCAUUGAUUUGAAUUCGGACUUAAGAGUGUUUUCUGAAGCAGCUUCCCAUAACAGAACCAUACAGUAUUUGUGUUUUGGGGAUUGACAUUUACCUUAGUAUAAUAUUCUCAAGGUUCAUCCAUAUUUUAGUAUGUGUCAGAAUUUCUUUCCUUUCUAAAGGCUAAUAAUAUUAUAUUGUAUGUAUAUUUUACAUUUUGUUGAUCCUGUUGUUCUUCUGUGGACUCAGGUUGAUUUCACUUUUGGGUGGAAUAUAAAUAAUGUGCCUAUGAACAUGGGUGUUCAAGUAUCUCUUUCAGACCUUGCUUUCAAUUCUUUGGGUAUAAAAUGGGUAGAAGUGGAAUUGCUGGGUCAUAUGGUAAUUCUAUUUAAAUUUUUUUGAGGAACCAUGAUAUUGUUUUCCAUAGCAACUGUACUACUUUACAUUUCCACCAACAGUGCACAAGUCUUCUGAUUUCUCCUCAUCAACACUUCUUAUUUUUUAUUUUGCAUUUGAUAGUAGUCAUCUUAAAUGGGGUGAGGUGGAGUCAACAUUAUUUUCUGCUUGCUUCUUGUUUUUUGGUUUCAUUAAGAAGUUGAAAAUAAAUCUAACUAGAACAGUAGUGAUUUCUGUGCUGUUUAUUAUAUUGGUUUAUAAGAAUUUACCAGUCAGCCUUGUAUGUCAAACUUUGGACUUUUUUAUUCAUUAACAUAUGCUUUUGGAGAUUCUUCUUUGUUUCAUGCACUGUUUAAUCCCUGUGAAUACAGCAGAGAAUAAGACACAGGUCUCUGUUCUCAGGAAGCUUGUAUUCUAAACAGGAGAAUAAGUUUAUACUGUAAAACAUAAUGGAAGGUAAGUAAGUAGAGGUCACAGAAGCAAUAGAGAAGGCUUUUCACCAUUGUUUUCCCAGCAGCUGGCACAGUGGAGACACUUGAAUAACUUUUUUGUCGAGAGGAAUAUGGGAAACAGUUCAACAAAAAAAACAAAUCAGAACCAUUAACCAACAGAAAAAUACUAAUACAGAGCACAGAGUUGUGCUAUAGAUGUAGCUCAGUGGCAGAGAGCUUGCCUAGCCAUGUGUGAAGGGGGCCCUGAGUUCAAUCACCAGUACUUGAGAGAGAGAGAUAAAAAUGCUACAGAGGUAAUCUCUUUCAUUAAUUUGACUUUGACUUCCAUCCAGGGAUGAUGGCUCUCAAAUUCACCUGUGUAGUCCAAAUUUCUUUCACGAACACAGGAUAUUUAUAUUUGGUUGCUUAUAGGAUGCUUUCACAGGGACAACCUAUAGGAACCACAAAUUUGACACAGUCUAAAACUGAUCUCAUUGUUUUUGCUUCUAAACCCAUUCCUCCUGUUUUAGAAAAGAGCAGGUUGGUAUACUCAUCUGCCCAGUAAAAGUCAGCCUUCCAUUGCUGUGCACGGCUGCACACGCCUGUAAUCCCAGCGGCUCAGGAGGCUGAGGCAAGAGGAAAGAGGAUCACAAGUUCAGAGCCAACCUCAGCAAAAAAGCGAGGUGCUAUGCAACUCAGUGAGACCCUGUAUCUAAAUAAAAUACAAAAGAGGGCUGGGGAUGUGACUAAGUGGUCGAGUGCCCCUGAGUUCAAUCCCUGGUACCAAAAAAAAAAAAAAAAAAAAAAAGAAAAAAAAAAAGUCAGCCUUCCUUUGACUCCUCAUUUCUAGAGACAUCCAUGGUUGUACCCUGGGUCAUUCACCAAUCAUUAUUUCUCAUCAAAAAAUUUAAGCCAUACACAGCGAUGCAUGCCUAUAAUCCCAGCAACUUGGGAGGCUAAGGCAGAAGGAUCACAAGUUCAAAACCAGCCUCAGCAACUUAUUGAGGCCCUAAGCAACUUAGAACUUGUCUCAAAGAAAAAGGACUGGGGGAGCUGGGGUUGUCACUCAGUGGUAAAGUGCUUGCUUGGCAUGUGUGAGCCACUGGGUUUGCUCCUCAGCACCACCUAAAAAUAAAGAAAGAAAGGUAUUGUGUCCAACAACAAAACCAAAAAAAAAAAAAAAGGCCUGGGGAUGUAGCUCAGUGGUAAAGUGCUCCUGGGUUCAAUACCAAAAACCCCCACCCUAGGAAUUUAAGCUUUAUUACCUAUGUUUUUGACUAUAGCCUUUGUUUUAUGAAUGUCCCAUUCUUUUUUAAAAAUAUUUUUUAGUUAUAGAUGGACACCAUGCCUUUAUUUUAUUUAUUUAUUUUUAUGUGAUGCUAAAGAUCAAACCCAGGGCCUCACAUGUGCUAGGCAAGCGCUCUAUUACUGAGCCACAGCCCCAGCUCUCAAUCUGUCCCAUUCUUGUAACUCUUUCUCCUACUACCAUCUGUUUGACCUCAUCCAGGUCUUCAAUUGCUGAAUAUAUUCAUAUUCUCCUGACUUUUCUUCUUUUUUUCUGUUACUGGGGAUAAAAUCCAAAGGUAUUUUACCCCUGAGCUACAUCUUCAGCCCUUUUUCACUUAUUUUGAGACAGGAUCUUGCUACAUUGCUCAGGCUGACCUUGAACUUGUGAUACUUCUGGGUCACUGGAAUUAGUGUACACCACCACACCUGGCCCAUAUUGCAUUUAGUAAGUACCCUAUUUUACUCUUUCUUCUUUCCCCAUAUGGUAAGUUCUCAGAUCUUUUAUUUUAAUUUUUAAUUUUUGUUAUUUGUUUUUUGCACUGGGGAAUGUAACCAGGGGUGCUUUACCACUGAGCCUCAUCCUUUUUGUUUUUUAUUUUGAAACAGGUCUCCCUAAGUUACCUUGCUAUGUUGAUGAGACUGGCCUUGAACUUGCGAUCCUCCUGCCUCAGCCUCCCAAGUUGCUUGGAUUACAGGCAAGGAUCCCUGUGUACAGCAGACAUUAUCUUUAUUUUUUUAAAUUAAUUUUAAUUUAGAAAUAUUUAUUAUUAUAUUAUAAUAAAUAAAUAUUAAAUAAUAUUUCUUUAUUAUUGUUAUUAUUUUGGUACCAGGGAUGAACCCAAGGGUGCUUAACCACUGAGCCACAUCCCCAGUCCUUUCUUUUUUUGCAUUUUAUUUAGAGACAGGGUUUCACUCUGUUGCUUAGUGCCUCACUAAGUUUCUGGGGCUGGCUUUGAUCUUGCAAUCCUUGUUCCUCAGCCUCCUGAAUUGCUAGGAUUAUAGGUGUGCACCACUGCACCUGGUGAUAUUAUUUUUAAAAUGUGAUAUUGUUAUGAUAUUAUGGAGUGGUCAGCAAAUACAUUAAGAUAAGUAGGACAUGAAUCCCUGCAUGUACACAGUAAAAUUUGAGUUAAUUGAAAUUCUUAGGAAGUAAAGUGAAAUGCCAAACUGGCUUCAGAGUUAUCUUCUUCUUUGUUUGUUUUGUUUUGAGACAAGGUCUUGGUAAGUUGCUUAGGGCCUCACUAAGUUGCUGAGACCAGCUUCAAACUUGUGAUUCUCUUCCCUCAGACUCUGGAUUUGCUGGGAUUACAGGUGUGGGUCAUCCCAUCUGGCUUAAAGUCUUUUUAAUAUUCAAUAAAGUGUGAAUGUAAAUGGUUCAUUUUGUCACAAGAACCCACUUAAAUGAAUGGAUACUAAUUUUUAAAAAUGUUUUGUUUGUUUUUUUAGAUACGCAUGACAGUAGAAUGUAUUUUAAUAUACAUACAUGCAAUAUAACUUCCCAUUCUGUGGUUGUAUAUGAUGUGGAGUUACAUUGGUCGUGUAUUCAUAUAUGAAUAUAGGAAAGUUAUGACUGAUUAAUUGUACUGUCUUUCCUAUUCCCAUCCCCCAAUACUUUCCUUCAUUCCCUCUUGUCUAAUCCAGUGAACUUCUAUUCUUCCAUCCCCACCCACUUAUUGUGUGUUAGUUUAUUAGAGAGAACAUUAGGCCUUUGAUUUUUGGGGAUUGGUUUAUUUCACUAGCAUGAUAGUCUCCGUGGAUACUGAAUUCUAAGAUGCCCCCCAAAUUUGUCACCUCUACCCUGAUCCUGGCUAAUCAUAGUGAUUCCACAUUAUGAAAACAUACAGUCAACUUUCUGUACCCGUGGGUUCCACAUCUAUAGAUUCAAAUCAUCACAGGUAGAAAAUAUCAAUUAAAGAAUUAUGUUUAGCCAGGCGUGGUGGCACAUGCCUGUAAUCCAGCAGCUUGGGAGGCUGAGGCAGGUGGCUAGGGAGUUCAAAGCCAGCCUUGCUAAGCAACUCAGUGAGAUCCUGUCUCUAAAUAAAAUUCAAAAUAGGGCUGGGGAUGUGCCUCAAUGGUAGAGUGCCCCUGAGCUUGAUCACUGGUUCCAAAAACAAAAAAAGGAUUAUGUCUGUACAAAACACAAAGAUGUUUCAUCUAUUAUUUUCUAAACAAUAAAACAACUCUUGUUGUUUUUACAUUGCAUUAGGUAUUAUAAAUAAUAUGGAGAUGAUUCAAGUUUAUCUAUGGGAAUAUGUAUGUAGGUUGUAUGCAAAUGCUAUGCCAUUUUGUGAAAGGGACUUGAGCACUCACAGAUUUUUGUAGCUGCAGGGGGGUUCCGGAACCAAUCCCCCAUGAGGGAUAAUGGUAUAACCUUCUAUUAUAUGGAAAGCCACAGUAUAGUAAAUUUUUGGAAUUUGAAGAUUUAAUGUUUAUGAUUAUGGGUUCAUGAUGUGUAGUAAUUUUUUGUAUUGUUUUGUUGCUGGGGAUUGAACCCAGCGUUGUGUUUUUUGUUUUAAUUUUGACUCACUAAGUUCCUGAGGAUCUUACUACAUUGAGGCUGGCCUUGAGCUUGCAAUCUUCAUGCUUCAGGCUCUUGAGUUGGUGGGUAUACAGGUAUGUGCCACCACAUUAGGCUAAUGUAUGUAAUUUGAAAUUUUCCUGAGGCAUCUACUAGCAUGUAGGACUUCUGCUUAGUGAGUUUCCUUAAGCAACAGCCUAGCAUCUGCAUGGGCAUCAUUUUAUUGUUCCCUGUGUGAUUUUUGUUUUCACCCUGUAGGGGAAAUUAUAUGCUCUAGUAGUUUUGUCAAAUUUGGAAUUUCAUAGUCUCAGGAUUUACCAUGAAGAAAUAUUAAAGAUUUACUCUGCAAGUCACCAUCACAUACCCUGACAAUAUAUGAAGUCAUAUCUUCAUCAGUAAACUAGUAUUGGUUGAGGUAAACUGUGAGAAUGAAAAUGAAAAGAUGGUUUUUACCAUCAUCGAGACUACUUAGAUUCUCAUUCUGAGAUUCCAGUGAGGGGUUACUUUUACAGGGCUGGGGCUUUCCAGGAAACUGAGGUAGCAUGAAGACCCUCUCCCGCAUCAAAUACUGAUUCUUGGGAUCAAAGCAGAAAGAUUUCAGACAUGUCACUCAAAGUAACAGGCAAUGAGUUAUUAGAAGGGAUGGAGGAGGCGCUGUGAGAAGAGUCGAACCGAGUGGAACCGCACCGGCGAGGUGCGGCUCUCGCUGCCCGAGCCCGGCCUCCCUUGGCUUCCGCGAUCCGGUCGCGGGGCCCGUGUUCCUCAGCACAUCCAGCUCCAGCCGCCCCCAGAGCCUGUCCCUAACCCUUCGGAAGCCCCGGCGCCAGCCCGGGCCCUUGGCGGGGAGGAUGACGGAGCUGCAGUCGGCGCUGCUACUGCGAAGACAGCUGGCAGGUGACCUACUUCUGCCUGGGUAUUGGUAGAAUUCUUUCUUUAUCCUUGAAGUUCAGUAACUUCAUCAGGAUAUAUCUCGGUCUUGGUGUGAUUCUCUAUUACAUUUUCCUGUUACAUGAACUCAACAAAAAUCCAGUGGAAGGCUUUUCAGCAGGUUUAAUAGAUGACAAUGGUCUCUAUCGAUGGGAAGUCCUUAUUAUUGGUUCUCCAGACACACUUUAUGAAGGUGGUGUUUUUAAGGCUCAUCUCACUUUCCCAAAAGAUUAUCCCCUCUGGCCUCCUAAAAUGAAAUUCAUUACAGAAAUCUGGCACCCAAAUGUUGAUAAAAAUGGUGAUGUUUGCAUUUCUAUUCUUCAUGAGCCUGGGGAGGAUAAAUAUGGUUAUGAAAAGCCAGAGGAAUGCUGGCUUCCUAUCCACACUGUGGAAACCAUCAUGAUUAGUGUCAUUUCUAUGCUGGCAGACCCUAAUGGAGAUUCACCUGCUAAUGUCGAUGCUGCGAAAGAAUGGAGGGAAGACAGAAACGGAGAAUUUAAAAGGAAAGUUGCACGCUGUGUAAGAAAAAGCCAAGAGACUGCUUUUGAGUGACAUUUAUUCAGCAGCUAGUAAUUUCACUUAUUUCAGGGUCUUCAAUUGAGAAACAUGGCACUGUUUUUCCUGCACUCUACCCACCUAUAUUGCUGGACUUCUGUUGUAACAAGUUGGCAAAACACUGGCUGGAACUGGGCUGCAAUAAAACAUGCCAGUUAUCAAUGCUGACAAGAGCCUAACAAGUGCCAACUUACAGAUGAUUACGCAUUUUGAAUUCUCAUGAACUGUUUUAACCUUCAGGAAGAAUUGUAAAGACGUGUACAUAGCACAACAUGAUCCGGAUAAUAUAUAUACUGUUCAUGUACAUCCACAAAUACACCUUGUACCAAAUAAUGCUUUCUUGUAGUAGAAUAAGAAUCGUGUAAAUUCUAAAAAGAUUUUAGCAGGUUUUCUUUCCCUAUUCAUUGUUUCUUAUCAGUUUAAAAAGACUCCUUAAAGCAUGUCAGAUGAAAAGCAAUUAGGAUUAAAAGUUUCCAUUUAAUUUCCUUUAAACCAUUGAGGCUUCAUUAAACCCUUGUCACUUACUAAACUUUUGUAUCUUCUUUGUUUUGACAGUCCCCUUUGCUUUUAUCUCUUCUAUCUGCCAGAAAGUUCUCAGAUGAUUUAGUUCAAAUACUGAAAUACUUAAUAAGCAAUUACUUGAUUUUUAAUGAUGACUUCAGAGGAGUGGUCAUCACUAGGUGCUUUGUCUUUUUGUAUUCUAGUUGCACCCAUCUCUUGGAUUGGAUGUAGCAAUAACAUUUUCUGGCUGUUGAGAGCUCUUGAACCUAGACAUUAUCCCAAGAACUUAAAAAAAAAAAGUUGGUUCUAAAUUCAACUUACUGAAAUUUA